rnacentral:tRNA from 1 species
GCUGGAUUAGCUCAGUUGGUUAGAGCGUGCGGCUGUUAACCGCAAGGCCACAGGUUCGACCCCUGUAUCUAGCG